AAACCAACUGGGAUUACCUUAGUAACGGCGAGUGAAGCGGUAAAAGCUCAAAUUUGAAAUCUGGUACUUUCAGUGCCCGAGUUGUAAUUUGUAGAAUUUGUCUUUGAUUAGGUCCUUGUCUAUGUUCCUUGGAACAGGACGUCAUAGAGGGUGAGAAUCCCGUUUGGCGAGGAUACCUUUUCUCUGUAAGACUUUUUCGAAGAGUCGAGUUGUUUGGGAAUGCAGCUCAAAGUGGGUGGUAAAUUCCAUCUAAAGCUAAAUAUUGGCGAGAGACCGAUAGCGAACAAGUACAGUGAUGGAAAGAUGAAAAGAACUUUGAAAAGAGAGUGAAAAAGUACGUGAAAUUGUUGAAAGGGAAGGGCAUUUGAUCAGACAUGGUGUUUUUGCAUGCACUCGCCUCUCGUGGGCUUGGGCCUCUCAAAAAUUUCACUGGGCCAACAUCAAUUCUGGCAGCAGGAUAAAUCAUUAAGAAUGUAGCUACUUCGGUAGUGUUAUAGCUUUUUUGGAAUACUGUUAGCCGGGAUU
rnacentral:rRNA from 1 species